GGAGACGUGCCUGAGUGGCCGAAAGGAGCCGCCUGCUAAGCGGUUAGGGGGGUGAAACUCCCUCGGAGGUUCGAAUCCUCCCGUCUCCG
rnacentral:tRNA from 1 species